GAAGCGGCAACAGCUCAAAUUUGAAAUCUGACCCUUUAGGGUCCGAGUUGUAAUUUGCAGAGGGUGUUUCGGGCACGGUGCCGGUUUAAGUCCUUUGGAACAGGGUGUCAUAGAGGGUGAGAACCCCGUAUGUGACCGGUCGCCAAACCCAUGUGAAACCCCUUCGACGAGUCGAGUUGUUUGGGAAUGCAGCUCAAAAUGGGUGGUAAAUUUCAUCUAAAGCUAAAUAUUGGCCAGAGACCGAUAGCGCACAAGUAGAGUGAUCGAAAGAUGAAAAGCACUUUGGAAAGAGAGUCAAACAGCACGUGAAAUUGUUGAAAGGGAAGCGCUUGCGACCAGACCUGCUCGCGGGUGAUCAGCGGUGCUUUUCGCGCCGUGCACUCAUCCGCGAUCAGGCCAGCAUCGGUUCAGGCGGCCGGACAAAGACUCGGAGAAUGUAGCUCCCUCCGGGGAGUGUUAUAUCUCCUUGUGCAAUACGGCCAGCCGGGACCGAGGACCGCGCU
rnacentral:rRNA from 1 species